ACGAGUAGGGAUUUGCCGGUAGUGUAGGAAUAAGCAUCGGCUAACUCCGUGCCAGCAGCCGCGGUAAUACGGAGGAUGCAAGCGUUAUCCGGAUUUAUUGGGUUUAAAGGGUGCGCAGGCGGGGAAAUAAGUCAGUGGUGAAAUGCUGCCGCUUAACGGUAGAAUUGCCAUUGAUACUGUUUUUCUUGAGUAUGGUUGAGGUAGGUGGAAUGUGCAGUGUAGCGGUGAAAUGCAUAGAUAUUGCACAGAACUCCGAUUGCGAAGGCAGCUUACUAAGCCAUUACUGACGCUCAGGCACGAAAGCGUGGGUAGCGAACAGGAUUAGAUACCCUGGUAGUCCACGCUGUAAACGAUGUUCACUCGCUGUUUGCGAUAGACAGCAAGCGGCUGAGCGAAAGCAUUAAGUGAACCACCUGGGGAGUACGAUCGCAAGGUUGAAACUCAAAGGAAUUGACGGGGGCCCGCACAAGCGGAGGAACAUGUGGUUUAAUUCGAUGAUACGCGAGGAACCUUACCUGGGCUUAAAUGUAGAUUGCAUGAUUUGGAAACAGAUCUUCCCUUCGGGGCUAUUUACAAGGUGCUGCAUGGUUGUCGUCAGCUCGUGCCGUGAGGUGUCGGGUUAAGUCCCAUAACGAGCGCAACCCUUACUGUUAGUUGCCAACGGGUAAAGCCGGGGACUCUAGCGGGACUGCCACCGUAAGGUGAGAGGAAGGUGGGGAUGACGUCAAAUCAGCACGGCCCUUAUGUCCAGGGCUACACACGUGUUACAAUGGCCGGUACAAAGGGCAGCUACCUGGUGACAGGAUGCUAAUCCCAAAAGCCGGUCCCAGUUCGGAUUGGAGUCUGCAACCCGACUCCAUGAAG
rnacentral:rRNA from 1 species